rnacentral:ribozyme from 13 species
UCUUCUUUUCUUUUCUUCUUUUCUUUCCUUUCCGUCCCUUUUUUGUUUUUUUUUUUGUGUGUUGCAACACCUCACCACAAAUGGGAAGAAGACACGCUCAGGCGGCCUCAUUCAAAGUGAUAGUGGUUGGUUGCCAAAUCCCCACAGCCAAAGAUGGGGAUUCUGUCUUCCUCCAGUGGAAAAGAGGGAUGAAAGACAAAAAUUCUGGCUCUUCUGAAUCAUUGGUUGUUUCAGAUGGUACUACACAACAAAAUUUUGAACCUAUCACUCUUAAUUGCACUCUUGUGAAAGAAAGUUUGUCAGCCAAAGAGUGGGAGACCAAAUAUCUUUCUU